ACUUCUUGAAGAAUCCUCAUUAAUAAUGUCAUUUUGCAGAACAUUUCUCCUGGCUUUGUGAAGACAGAAUUUGCAUCACGGCUCUACAGAGACAAUUCUGAUAAAGCAGCUGCUAUAUACACUAAAUAUAAGUCGCUGGAAGCAAAAGACCUCGUCAGUGCCGUCACAUACGUGCUCAGUGCCCCUCCUCAUGUUCAGAUUGGGGAGAUUUUACUUGAAGGUCUGUAGCAGGUGUCAUGCAACUUGGCCGUGAGACCCAUCCCAAUCUUUACAUCAAAGUAGUGUGACUGGCUCUCCUUACUUCUCAACACUGUCAGAUUGUAAUCAAUUCACAGAAGGAUAAAAUGAAGGAAACUCCUCCAGCUGU